ensembl:lncRNA
AAAAGCCUUCAGAUGUCUUAGUUAUGAAAUGCAAACCUACCACUUUAAAGAUCGCCUGCCUGAGGACUAGACGGCUAACCUUCUGUGAACCUUGAGAAUUCUACUGGAAAGCAAGCUACCUUCCACCUAUCUGGCCAACAGAACACAGCUUCUCUGGCCUUCAAGCAUGGAUAAAGGACCAACAGCAAUCAGGACUCCUCCAGACCAUUACUGUCAGAUUGACUGAAAAGUCCAGCCUCAUGGAUCAAAGAGUUGCUGAAUUUUCAGCUUCUACAGUCAGGAGCCAGCCCCUGUUGGACUACCCAGUCGACGAGUUAACCAACGGACUAAACUCCUUUAUAUGCAUUCAUUACACCACUUCUCUUCUUCCGGAGAAACCUAUUUAGUGCACUAUAUAAACGGAACCCUGAAAUAUU